CCACCAGCAGCACGGUGCUGAAAGACAGGCACAGCCCUGGGGAGUCAGACACACCUGGGCCAGAACACUCAUCUUAGUGACAUAGGCCAGUUCUUUAACCUCUCUAGGACUCAGUUUCCUCAUCUGUGACUCAGGACUAAUUCCCUCAGGAAAGACUACGCACAAUCCCCGGUAACAGGAAUAGUUCCCUCACCUGUUUCAUUGGUUCCUCCACGUACGUGAGUACUCAACGUUCACCCGUUCUCGUCCACAUCCCUCCUUCUGUGGCUCCUGCUCAAAUGCUGACUUCGGCCUCUCUCUCACUCUGAGCCUGGGAAACAACCUUGCUGCUCUGGGAAAUCACCCACCUCUGACUUCUGAGCCUGGGGGUACGUCUUGCUUCAGUACCUCAGAGACCAGACCUGCCACUUGGUUGCUCUGCAUUUGGGUAUGGGAGGCGAGGGUCUUUCUUCUUGUGCUGGGCCAGGUCUGGCCCUUCAACUACUUGCUGCUUCCGGCCUCUCAGCGGAUUUUGCACCACACUUUCUGGCAGGUGAGGCCACCAGUACUCCGCCUACGGUUUUACCUGACACUGCCUUUUUUACAUGAGGAUGAACCACAAUACUGUUCAGAGCUGUCUUCUGGUGGGCAUUAGGUAAAAACAACCACUAUCAAAGGAGUUAAAUCUCAGGCUUAGAGCAUGGUGGAUUUGUAGUAGUGAUAGUCCCCAAUUUGUUCACGCUUUUCUGUAUCCAUGGCCUGUGUUGUUUCCUCCCACAUGGACUCUAGGCUUGGACAAGGUAUUUACUUCAGCCAGUGGAGACAACAGUAACAGCUAUAAGAAGAGGCUUGAGAAGUACUUAUGCACUGGGGCCUGUCCUCCUUUGCUGCUCCUGGAACACUGUGGCCACCAUGGAAAGACACCCGGCUACCAGCUGUCUUCCUGGAGGCCGUGAGAGACCACAUGGAACCAAAGCAAGGGGUCCCCGCUGAGGUUCUCUUCAAACAACCAGCCUGCCCAUCACCACACAUGUGAGCAAGGCCAGCCUGGCCAUGCCACCAGCAGAUGGAUACGAAGAAAGUCAGCACAGACUAAAGACUGCAUGGCCAACCCACAGAUCAAAAGCAAAUUUAAUGGUUGCUGUUUUAAGCCACUCCGUUUUGGGACUUGAUACAAAACGAAAGCUAAUUGAUACGACAAAGAAGAAAUGCCUUGCGUCUUUCCUAGGGAUUUCUAAGCCAGGCUCUAGAGCUCCAUAUCGUCAUCUGCAGGAAGCACACGCAAAGCUCCACUUGCCUACAUUCCUCAAUAUGCUGCGUGCUUUUUCAGAAAGGUCUAUAUUUAGUUCCAGAUUUAAAAUACUGAGGAUGUGUCGCGUUAACCAGAUGGCAGGGAUUGUGUAACUGCCUGACUGCUUCUAGUUUUUAGGCUACUGACAUUCUCUACAUAUCUGUAGCUUUUCCAUUUGAUGACACGGGCCUCAAUCUGGGAACACCCUCGCUUCCCCCCCGAAUGCUCUCAGGAUUUCUGCACCCUCCCUCUCUGACUCUCCUAUGGCACCACCACCAAAUGCAAAUGCCAGGGAUGUGGUCAGAGUCUCAUUACUUCCACUUGUGCUGGGGACAGGCCUGGUGUGAUCACCGCCCGGGGGGUUGUGCACAAAGCCUGGAGGGAAGGGGUGGCAACAUCCAGCCCCAGGAAGAACACAUGCCUUCUUCUGGGGCUUAUUUUCCUAGAAAACUUGGAGAGGAAGGUCAUGUUUUGUUCUCAAUUUUUAUUAGAUUUUUAAAAAUAUUUAUUUUUGAGAGAGAGAGAGAGAGAGAGAGAGAGAGCAAGCAGAGGAGGGGCAGAGAGAGAGGGAGACCCAGAAUCCGAAAUGAGCUCCAGGCCCUGAGCUGUCAGCACAGAGCCCCACGUGGGUAGAAGACCAUGACCUGAGCCGAUGUUGGGACGCUUAACUAAGUCGCCCAGGCACCCCUUUCUUCAUUUUUUAAAAUGGUUACAUAAACAUGGUAUCUAAAAUUCA